rnacentral:lncRNA from 1 species
GGCACGAGCUCUAGUGGUUUACAGGGUAGGGGGGCUGGAGGCGCUGUGGCAAAGCAGUGUCGAUAAGAGAGAGAGAGAGCAAGAGAGAUAAAGAGAGAUUGAUGGAGAGAGCGGGAGAGUGAACAGCUCUAUGUAAACAGGGUGUCAGAAAAGAAAUUGCAGGGACAUUUUCAGCCUGCUAAGGCUGGGAAAAUAAUCACAUAGAAUCUGCAAAGCAGCACUCACUAGGGCAGAGAGAGAAAUAGAGAGAAGAGAGAGAGAGGGACGGAACUGAACAGAGAGAGUCGUUUUACAGUGAGAGAGACAGAGAGUGAGAGAGAGACAGAGAGAGAGGAAGCUAUAUAGCAACAGAGCGAAGGAGAGGAACUAAGCAAAAGGGAGAGAGAGGAAAAAAGCUUAAUUAAUUCAGGCUGAAUGGGAGGGAGGGAUGUUGCUACCUCUGCCGGGGCUCCAGUGCCUUUGCUGUGCCUCUCUGUGUAGCUGGAGCUGUGUUGUGUAGCUGUGGCUCUGCUCUUUGUAGCUGUAGCUGCCGGUUUGUGUUGUGAGGGGCUCGCUGCUCUGCUCACGGGGGAAGGGAGAGCAACUCAUGCCCCGGGCAGCUUGGAACGGACUGCCUAUCAACCCAUACUGAAGGAAGGAACACACACACAGACAGCAGAACUACUGGGAUGGGCAGAGUGUAAAGAUAAACAGAUCUGGGAUCAGACUGCGCUGUCUUGACCUUGAAUACUGGCAAGACAUCACAAACAGAUCUGGGACUAGGCUACCCU